rfam:Schistosoma mansoni strain Puerto Rico chromosome 5, complete genome
AUCCAGCUGACGAGUCUCAAAUAGGACGAAACGCGUGUGAAACUGGAU